GCCCAAUGAUGAGACCAAGGCGAAUGUGAUCUCACUGGUUAAGAUCCUGAGCUCUCCUGUUUUCCUAUUGGCUGGUAAUCUUGGCUGGGCAGUGGAGAUUUGCUGCUUUGCUGUAAGGGCCUGCCUACAUUAAACAAAGCCCCUCCCAUUAUCUUAUCCGCAAAGAAAUGCAGGAGAGAGAGAUGGAAGGGGUGGUCAGUGUGUGUGCGUGUGCGUGUGCGUGUGUGUGUGUGUGUGUGUGGAUACAGGACGAGACUUGGUUAUCUGUAAUAUCCAGUGGGCAGUGAACUGCUUCUUAAAUAAUCUGAGGGCA